UCCACCCACGCUUUCACACACAUAGAAGCACUCAUUUGGAAGCAAGCUUCCAUCUUCUCCAUUCCUCCAAUCUACUUUUAUGCCCAGAAGUGGAAAUGACUUUACUUUUUGAUGACAUUGGGAAAGGGGGAUUCUGUGUGUAAACGUAGCUUUGGAUUGCUAGAGUUCUCCCUCCCUCUGUUUCUUUCUUUCCUUCUUACCCAUUCCUCUUCUUUUCACCUUCUGUUUCCAAGUCUUCUGUGAUAUUCUUUAUUGAAAGUAAGCAUAUUAGACAAGCCUGGGAUGGCCCAAAUUGAGCAGUAUUGCCUAAGCAAAGCGUAAAGGAAAUCUUGACUCACGGAUGGAAUCAGCAAUGAAAAAUUCUGUGCUGUCUCAAUCCCCUAAGUGAGAAAAGAGGUGGAAACCAGUGCUUAGAGAGUUUAAACUGCCCAAGUUCACACCACUGACAACUGGCAGAAGCCAACUUGGAAUCUCAAGUUUUGACCCAAGGCCAUUACUUUUUUUGUAUUAUACCAACAAAAAUGUCAGCUUCAUUUACUCAUCCGUCUUUGUUGCUGUUUGUCUUGAGAACAGUUUUCCUCAUAAUGACUUCCUACUAAAGUAGUUAACCCAGU